AUUGACUCAUCUGUUAUUUAAUGCUUAAUAAAAAAAAAUCUUAUUUAAAUACGCUUAUGAUGUGUGAUAUUUGAUUAUUUUCUAUAAGCCAGAGGGAGAGCUUUGGCAGAUUGAGGACGUUCUUCAAGUUUUUCUCUGAAUUUGGUUCCAAAGCUCAAUAUUUAUCCUGUCACACUCCAUAGUGAUAAUGGGAUGAGUCAGGAUCCGGCCAACCCUUAGAUCUAGUUCAUAUGAUGAUGGG